UUCUGCUGAUAAGGUUAUGUGGUCUCGGAUUAUUGAUGUUGUGGUUGGAACUAUAGCAGCUGGAAGAUAAAGGCUUACUGCACCAUUGAAUAACAGUCAUUCUCAGUCAAUAAUGAAGCAGAUAUAAGAGUACAGUAGUGAGUGCCUGCCUCACAAGCGAUCAUCCUUGCAGCAAUAUCAGGAUUCCUGUUUAUAAGGUUGCAACAAUUGACUGCUUUCUGAGUUGAGAUUUUGUUUCUAGAAGUGAGUCUGCCAUGAAAGUUUGAGGUGAAUUAUGAACACAGUACAAGGGGACCUUGAAGUUAUUCUGGAAUUUCUGGAAGAACACAGGAGAUGUAAGAAAGAAAAUGAUCAAGAUUUCAUUAGAG